AGAGUUUGAUCCUGGCUCAGGACGAACGCUGGCGGCGUGCCUAACACAUGCAAGUCGAACGAGAAAGAGGGAGCAAUCCCUUGAGUACAGUGGCGUACGGGUGAGUAACACGUGACUAACCUGCCUUCGAGUGGGGAAUAACUUCGGGAAACCGAGGCUAAGACCGCAUAACAUCUUUGGGUGAAAUUCCCUUGGAUCAA
rnacentral:rRNA from 1 species